rnacentral:pre_miRNA from 1 species
CUUCAACUGGCGGUGCAGCCGUUCCACCAUGCCAUUAGCCGUCGGAUGAUAAGAGGUGGUGUGGAUGUGUCUGAUGGCAUGGUGGAACGGCUGCACCGACAGUUGAAG